UGCCCCGAAAACCUAAGGAUUCCUCUGGAAGGUUCGUCCACGGAGGGUGAGUCAGGGCCUAAGGCGAGGCUGAAAAGCGUAGUCGAUGGACAACAGGUUAAUAUUCCUGUACUAUUUGUUAUUGAUAACGAGGGACGGAGAAGGCUAGGUCAGCCGGAUGUUGGUUACCGGUUUAAACUUUCAAUGUGAUGAUAAGUGGUGAAAACACUUUGAGCAAAGAAGUGAAUACAAAGCACCAAGGUGCUAAAGUGAUUGACGUCAUACUUCCUAGAAAAGCUCGAUAUAUCUUAAAUAACAAAUACCUGUACCCGAAACCGACACAGGUAGGUAGGUAGAGUAUACCAAGGGGCGCGAGAUAACUCUCUCUAAGGAACUCGGCAAAAUGGCCCCGUAACUUCGGAAGAAGGGGUACCCUUGUAGGGUUGCAAUAACCAGACCCAAGCGACUGUUUAUCAAAAACACAGGUCUCCGCUAAGUCGCAAGACAAUGUAUGGGGGCUGACGCCUGCCCAGUGCCGGAAGGUUAAAGAAGUUGGUUAGUAUUUCACGAAGCUAACGACUGAAGCCCCGGUGAACGGCGGCCGUAACAAUAACGGUCCUAAGGUAGCGAAAUUCCUUGUCGGGUAAGUUCCGACCCGCACGAAAGGCGUAACGAUUUGGGUACUGUCUCGGAGAGAGACUCGGCGAAAUAGACUUGUCUGUGAAGAUGCGGACUACCUGCACCUGGACAGAAAGACCCUAUGAAGCUUUACUGUAACUUGGAAUUGGGUUUGAGCUUUUCUUGCGCAGCAUAGGUGGGAAGCUAAGAAAAUAGAUUUGCGGAUCUAUUUGAGCUAUCAGUGAGAUACCACUCUGGGAAAGCUAGAAUUCUAACCUUGAAAGCCGUUAUCCGGCCAAGGAACAGUUUCAGGCGGGCAGUUUGACUGGGGCGGUCGCCUCCUAAAAAGUAACGGAGGCGUGCAAAGGUUUCCUCAGGCUGGUUGGAAAUCAGUCGUAGAGUGUAAAGGCAUAAGGAAGCUUGACUGCAAGACCUACAAGUCGAGCAGAGACGAAAGUCGGCCUUAGUGAUCCGACAGUGCCGAGUGGAAGGGCUGUCGCUCAACGGAUAAAAGUUA
rnacentral:rRNA from 1 species